UACGGGGGGGGCAAGCGUUGUUCGGAAUUACUAGGCGUAAAGGGCUCGUAGGCGGCCAACUAAGUCAGACGUGAAAUCCCUCGGCUUAACCGGGGAACUGCGUCUGAUACUAUGGCUUGAGUUUGGGAGAGGGAUGCGGAAUUCCAGGUGUAGCGGUGAAAUGCGUAGAUAUCUGGAGGAACACCGGUGGCGAAGGCGGCAUCCUGGACCAACACUGACGCUGAGUGAGCGAAAGCCAGGGGAGCAAACGGG
rnacentral:rRNA from 1 species